rnacentral:lncRNA from 1 species
GGGCACUGCUGUAAGAGCCAGGUAUACUUAGCUGACUCUUUCACCAUCAAUUCCUGUCUCACCUUGAAGUGUCCACUUGGUGCAUACUGGAGGCUAUGCUUCCCAACCUGCAGGAUGGCCAGCUUGCAGCUACCACCUUUUAUAAGAAACAAAGCUCUCAUUUCCAAAUUUAUGAACCACAUGAUUCUUCAGUUGACAAGGGAUGCAUUGCCAAUCAUCCUUGGAAGACUCUCAUCCUGGGAUAGGAAAUGAGAAGUGGAU